rnacentral:lncRNA from 1 species
UUCUGCCACCUGGGUUCAAGCAAUUCUCAUGCCUCAGCCUCCGGAGUAGCUAGGAUUACAGGCGCAAGCCACCACACCUAGUUAAUUUUUGUAUUUUUAGUAGAGAUGAGGUUUUGCUAUGUUGGCCAGGCUGGUUUGGAACUCCUGACAUCAAGUGAUCCACCCACUUUAGCCUCCCAAAGUGCUGGCAUUACAGGUGUGAGCCACUGCACACAGCUGGAAUCUAUCUUUUUAAAUGUGAUUUUCUGCAGUGGUUUAGUAGCCUGGAGCAUCUCUGCAUGAUGGAGGGUGGCUGCAGGCCCAGUGCUCAGGAUCCUCCCAGAAGAUGUCCAUGAGAUGGGCCACAGGAGCAGCCACCACUGUUACCAUCCAGAAGACAGAAAAUCAAGAAGUCAAUGCCCCAUGUCCAUCAAAGACACAGAUACGCACCCUCUCAAGCCCAGCAAUGCAUAAAUUGUGCUCAUGCAACCUCUGACACAUUUCCAAAGGCUGAAUGUUCUAUCUCACAAGGCA